AGAGUUUGAUCCUGGCUCAGGAUGAACGCUAGCGGCAGGCUUAACACAUGCAAGUCGAGGGGCAGCGUGGAGCAGCAAUGCUCUGACGGCGACCGGCGGAAGGGUGCGUAACACGUGAGCGACUUGCCCGUCACAGGGGGAUAACCGGCGGAAACGGCGACUAAUACCCCAUAUGAUGUGAUGCUGCAUGGCAUUGCAUUGAAAGAUUCAUCGGUGGCGGAUAGGCUCGCGGGACAUUAGCUAGACGGCGGGGCAACGGCCCACCGUGGCGACGAUGUCUAGGGGUUCUGAGAGGAAGACCCCCCACACUGGGACUGAGACACGGCCCAGACUCCUACGGGAGGCAGCAGUGAGGAAUAUUGGUCAAUGGGCGGAAGCCUGAACCAGCCAUGCCGCGUGAAGGACUAAGGCCCUACGGGUCGUAAACUUCUUUAGACGCAGAGCAAUAAGGUCCACGAGUGGACCGAUGAGAGUAUGCGUAGAAUAAGCAUCGGCUAACUCCGUGCCAGCAGCCGCGGUAAUACGGGGGAUGCGAGCGUUAUCCGGAUUUAUUGGGUUUAAAGGGCGCGUAGGCGGGACGGCAAGUCAGCGGUAAAAGACUGCAGCUAAACUGUAGCACGCCGUUGAAACUGUUGACCUCGAGACGAGACGAGGGAGGCGGAACAAGUGAAGUAGCGGUGAAAUGCAUAGAUAUCACUUGGAACCCCGAUAGCGAAGGCAGCUUCCCAGGCUCGUUCUGACGCUGAUGCGCGAGAGCGUGGGUAGCGAACAGGAUUAGAUACCCUGGUAGUCCACGCCGUAAACGAUGCUCACUGGAUCUUGGCGAUACACGGCCAGGGUUCAAGCGAAAGUAUUAAGUGAGCCACCUGGGGAGUACGUCGGCAACGAUGAAACUCAAAGGAAUUGACGGGGGCCCGCACAAGCGGAGGAACAUGUG
rnacentral:rRNA from 1 species